rnacentral:rRNA from 1 species
UGGGGAAUUUUGGACAAUGGGCGAAAGCCUCAUCCAGCAAUGCCGCGUGUGUGAAGAAGGCCUUCGGGUUGUAAAGCACUUUUGUCCGGAAAGAAAUCCUUGGCUCUAAUACAGUCGGGGGGAUGACGGUACCGGAAGAAUAAGCACCGGCUAACUACGUGCCAGCAGCCGCGGUAAUACGUAGGGUGCAAGCGUUAAUCGGAAUUACUGGGCGUAAAGCGUGCGCAGGCGGUUUGCUAAGACCGAUGUGAAAUCCCCGGGCUCAACCUGGGAACUGCAUUGGUGACUGGCAGGCUAGAGUAUGGCAGAGGGGGGUAGAAUUCCACGUGUAGCAGUGAAAUGCGUAGAGAUGUGGAGGAAUACCGAUGGCGAAGGCAGCCCCCUGGGCCAAUACUGACGCUCAUGCACGAAAGCGUGGGGGAGCAAAACAGGAUUAGAUACCCUGGGUAGUCCACGCCCUAAACGAUGUCAACUAGUUGUUGGGGAUUCAUUUCCUAGUAACGUAGCUAACGCGUGAAGUUGACCGCCUGGGGAGUACGGUCGCAAGAUUAAAACUCAAAUGAAUUGACGGGGU